rnacentral:rRNA from 1 species
GACGAACGCUGGCGGCGUGCUUAACACAUGCAAGUCGAACGAAGGGCGAUGGAAGCUUGCUUCUAUCAAUCUUAGUGGCGAACGGGUGAGUAACGCGUAAUCAACCUGCCCUUCAGAGGGGGACAACAGUUGGAAACGACUGCUAAUACCGCAUACGAUCUGACCUCGGCAUCGAGGAUAGAUGAAAGGUGGUCUCUACAUGUAAGCUUUCACUGAAGGAGGGGUAUGCGGCUGAUUGGCUAGUUGGUGGGGUAGGGGCCCACCAAAGCGAGGAUCAGUAGCCGGUCUGAGGAGAUGGACCGCCACAUUGGGACUGAGACACGGCCCAGACUCCUACGGGAGGCAGCAGUGGGGAAUCUUCCGCAAUGGACGGAAGUCUGACGGGGCAACGCCGCGUGAGGGAUGACGGCCUUCGGGUUGUAAAGCUCGGUUAAUCGGGACGAAACGCCUUUUUGCGAAUAGUGAGAAGGAUUGACGGUACCGGAAUAGAAAGCCACGGCUAACUACGUG